rnacentral:rRNA from 1 species
GACGAACGCUGGCGGCGUGCUUAACACAUGCAAGUCGAACGGAAAGGCCCUGCUUUUGUGGGGUGCUCGAGUGGCGAACGGGUGAGUAACACGUGAGUAACCUGCCCUUGACUUUGGGAUAACUUCAGGAAACUGGGGCUCAUACCGGAUAGGAGCUCCUGCUGCAUGGUGGGGGUUGGAAAGUUUCGGCGGUUGGGGAUGGACUCGCGGCUUAUCGGCUUGUUGGGGGGGUAGUGGCUUACCAAGGCUUUGACGGGUAGCCGGCCUGAGAGGGUGACCGGCCACAUUGGGACUGAGGUACGGCCCAGACGCCUACGGGAGGCAGCAGUGGGGAAUAUUGCACAAUGGGAGGAAGCCUGAUGCAGCAACGCCGCGUGCGUGAUGACGGCCUUCGGGUUGUAAACCGCUUUCGCCUGUGACGAAGCGUGAGUGACGGUAAUGGGUAAAGAAGCACCGGCUAACUACGUG